GGGUUGUGAGGUUAAGCGACUAAGCGUACACGGUGGAUGCCCUGGCAGUCAGAGGCGAUGAAGGACGUGCUAAUCUGCGAUAAGCGUCGGUAAGGUGAUAUGAACCGUUAUAACCGGCGAUUUCCGAAUGGGGAAACCCAGUGUGUUUCGACACACUAUCAUUAACUGAAUCCAUAGGUUAAUGAGGCGAAGCGGGGGAACUGAAACAUCUAAGUACCCCGAGGAAAAGAAAUCAACCGAGAUUCCCCCAGUAGCGGCGAGCGAACGGGGAGCAGCCCAGAGCCUGAAUCAGUGUGUGUGUUAGUGGAAGCGUCUGGAAAGGCGCGCGAUACAGGGUGACAGCCCCGUACACAAAAAUGCACAUGCUGUGAGCUCGAUGAGUAGGGCGGGACACGU
rnacentral:rRNA from 1 species